AAAGAUGGACGCUAGGAAAGCCAGUGUAGGUUUACUGCCUUUUUGUAAAAUUAUGUUUUCAAGUAUAAGUACAUAGCCUUUGGAGAUUAGCUCCCGGCCGAAUAAAACAUGUAAGAUUUGGUAAUGUGUUUUGAACCGUAUGUGGNNNNNNNNNNNNNNNNNNNNNNNNNNNNNNNNNNNNNNNNNNNNNNNNNNNNNNNNNNNNNNNNNNNNNNNNNNNNNNNNNNNNNNNNNNNNNNNNNNNNGGUUGGCUCUUAAUGAUUAUGGUCUAGUCCGGGCCGUCCAAACAUUCGCUCACGGUAAGGGUUGGCAAGCCUGGAUCCGUGUUCGAGUGGGAUGACCUCGUGGUACGGUCGACUAAGGUGACCGAAUUCGUUUCGAGAACCUCGGUUGACUGUCCGCGUGAGUUAUCACGUAGCAUCUGAGGCCGUUCUAUCUCUAGAACGGUUCGGGGGUGUUACAAGUUUGGUAUCAGAGCAUGGUUAAUGAUGCUCAUGGGAACCAACCAGUUUUCAACCGUUUUAUCGAGUAAAAGAGUCGCAAAAAGGCAUUAGGAUAAACUGGCGCGUCCAUGCUUAUUAUAGGUAGUUGGGAUUAGGACUUACCCUUUGUGAUCAUGCAGAUGUCUGGACAAGGAUUUAGCAGAGGUCGGUCGUGGGAAUUGCCACCUGGAUUUGGGAAUUGGGACUUUGGAUACCAAAACAAUGUUAGCGAUGGUAGCACAAAUGUUCGCAAUGGUGCAGAGAACAAGUCAGUAGACUUGUCACUUUCAGUAGGAUCGAUAGCCGAAAGAUAUGCUAAUAUGCCUAGGCCGGAGGAGUAUAGACCUCGAUCACCAAGACCAGAACGAGUUUCACCACCGAGACCCAUGUCUGUUUCCGAUGGGAAUGAGAAUCCCCAAGAAAUUCCUCAAGAGGAGCCUCGGAUGAAUCAGAAUCCCCGAGGUAUGAAUCCAAGGAAUGAACCUCAGGGACAAGUUCCCGCACCAGGAAAUCCGCCACCAAGAAUGCCGGAGGAGAACCCGAUCAUAAACUUAAUGUACGGGAUGAUGGAUCAAAUGAAGCAACAACAACAAAUGGUAAUCAAUACGCAGUCAGGACCACCACCGCCACCAAAGUAUCAUGACAUGGUCAUAAUGAUGAAGAACAUGGGCACAUACAAGUUUCCGGGAAGCACCAACCCUUAUGACGCAGAUACAUGGAUGCAAGACCUCGAAAGAAAUUUUGAAGCAACCCGAUGUCCGGAAGGAUAUAGAAAGGACAUCGCAGCCCAUUACUUAGAGCAGGAUGCCCUAACCUGGUGGAAGAAUGUUGUAGCUCGUUAUGUUAUGGAACCGACUUGGAUGGAUUUCCGACGUGAAUUUCAGAGGAAGUAUUUCCCACCCGAAGAGAGAGAUCGACUUGAAACGCAAUUCUUACAACUUGAACAAGGAGGAAGAAAAGUACGAGAUUAUGAAGCCGAGUUUGCCCGACUCCUCAAAUACACUAAUUAUGGUAACGGAGAUGAGCAAGUGGUGAUACGUAAAUUCCUUCGUGGAUUACGUCCCUCCAUUCGAAGCCGUCUCAAUGUGGUAGAGUUCCGAAGCUAUUAUGAAGUUGUGGAAAGAGCCGUAAAUGUAGAAGAAGGAAUUUUAGCCGAAAGGGAAGAGAUGAGAUCAAUGAAGAUUACAAAUGAACCAGUUCAGAAAUUCAAGUAUAGCCAAGGACAGACCAAGAAUUCACCUAAAAGCCGAGAGAAAGAUCAAAAAGGGAGAACCGGAAAUUCUCCAGUGUUGUGUUACAAUUGUAACCAGCCAGGACACUAUGCUCGAAGUUGUCCUAAUAAGGAAGGAGCAAGACCAAAUGGGUUUGCUCCAGAUGUGGUAUGUUUUGCUUGCAACUAUAAGGGCCAUUAUGCAAGUCAAUGCCCAAUGAAAGGUGACCUAGCCGGAAAAAUUUAUGGAAAGCCAAGAAACCACCCUGCACCGACCCGUCCUGCUAAUGAGUCCGCAUCUAAAAAGCAAGCUACUGGAGCUAGAAUUAACGCUAUAGAUAUAGAUAAUGCUGACCUUCCAGGACCUUAUAAAGGUCUCAUUGCAGGUAUGUUUGGGUUCUAACUUAUACUCCUUUUUACCGUGUUUUUGCAUGUGGUUGUUUUGCCUUUUUCCUAGUUUUAUGUUUGUGCGCCAAUUUGGUAAGCAGGAACUUUACGUGUUGGUGGAAAUCCCACUCACGUAUUGUUUGACUCGGGAGCGACCGACAGUUUCGUAACUCCCGAGACUGCUUCCAAAUUCAAAGGAACCUUUGCCCGUAACAAGGCAAAUGUUUCUGUUCGAACCCCUGGAAAUCUAGUCCUUAAAGCAGAAGAGAUCAUUUUAGGAGUACCCGUAGAAAUCCUUGAGAAUGCCUUCCUAGCUAAUCUUCUGGUAAUACCAUUAGAACGCUACGAAGUCAUUUUAGGUAUGGAUUGGUUGUCCGGUCACCAAGUCCAUAUAGAUUGUGGGAAAGGUAGGAUUUCGUUCGAAGGAAGACACCAAAAACCAAUAACCUACCACGGAUUAAACCCCAGCCUAGCAGUAUCGCUUGUGUCUGCUUUGAGAGUAGAAAAAGAGUUAGAAACCGGAGAAGCCUAUUUAGUCACUUUAACAGUUCUUGGAAACGACCCCGAAGAUGGAGUAAAGAUUGAAGAUAUUCCUAUUGUUCGAGAAUAUGAAGACGUUUUCAAGCCAUUAGAAGGUUUACCUCCACCCCGAAACAAUUGUUUUACCAUCAACCUUGAACCCGGAGCAGCACCAAUAGCAAAGGCUCCUUAUCGGAUGGCUCCAGCUGAACUCUCAGAGUUGAAACAGCAAUUGGAAGAUUUACUGGAUAAAGGAUUUAUACGACCUAGUUCUUCACCGUGGGGAGCUCCAGUAUUGUUUGUGAAAAAGAAGGAUGGGAGUAUGAGACUAUGCAUUGACUACCGAGGGAUCAAUAAUGUCACGAUAAAGGACAAGUAUCCUUUACCGCGAAUCGAUGAAUUGUUGGACCAGUUAAGGGGAGCUGCAUGGUUCUCCAAGAUCGAUUUAGCUUCAGGAUAUCACCAAAUUCCCAUUAGUGAAGAUGACAUCAUAAAGACAGCUUUUAGAACAAGAUAUGGGCAGUAUGAGUUCGUAGUGAUGCCGUUCGGACUCACCAAUGCCCCAGCGGCAUUCAUGCGACUCAUGAACGAGGUAUUUCAUGAUUACCUCGAUGCCUUUGUCAUUAUUUUCAUAGAUGAUAUUCUCAUCUAUUCUCGAAGUAAAGAAGAACACAGAGAACACCUCCGAAAGGUGUUGGAACGUUUAAGAAGUCAUCGAUUAUUUGCUAAGUUUAGUAAAUGUCGAUUUUGGGAGCAAGAGAUAGGAUUUCUUGGACACCGAGUAUCCGCUCAAGGAGUGUCCGUUGAUCCAGAAAAGAUUAGUGUAAUUCAAGACUGGCCGCAACCUACUACUGCUACAGAAAUAAGAAGCUUCCUUGGCCUAGCAGGCUAUUAUCGGAAAUUUGUUCGAGGAUUUUCUUCCAUUUCUAAGCCCUUGACACGAUUGACCGGUAAAGGAAUUCCAUUUAUUUGGAACGAAGAUACGGCGAAAGCAUUUACUAAAUUAAAGGAAGCCUUGACCACGGCACCAGUUUUGGCUUUGCCCGAACCAGGACAACCCUAUACCGUGUAUACCGAUGCCUCUCGCAUAGGCUUAGGAUGUGUAUUGAUGCAAGGAAAGAAAGUCAUAGCAUAUGCAUAAAGACAACUCAGGAAGCACGAAGAGAACUAUCCUACUCAUGACCUUGAAAUGGCUGCCGUAGUGUUUGCACUCAAGAUAUGGAGAUCAUACCUAUACGGAGAAACUAUCGAAGUAUUUACGGAUCAUAAAAGCCUCAAAUACUUAUUUACUCAACCCGACUUAAAUCUACGACAAAGACGAUGGAUGGAGUUCAUUGCCGACUACGACCUAAAGAUUCAAUAUCACCCGGGAAAGGCGAACGUUGUAGCAGAUGCUUUAAGUCGUAGGAAGCUGGAGAUAGACGCCGAAAAAGACCUUGAAGUUUUGAACCAAGAAUUGAAAAAUGUUAGUCUAGCUGCCAUAGAUGGAGAACCUAGCGAACCAUUAGGAAUGCAAGCCGUACGUCAAGCCGGCCUACUUCAACGAAUCAAAAAAGAACAAGGAAAGGAUGUGAAUCUCAAGAAAAUUACAGAGGAAGUUAAGAACCAAGGAGGAAGAAAUGCUAGUGGAUACCACUUAGCCGAUGAUGGAACCAUACUACUUAAUGGGAGGAUCACAGUACCCGACCGAGAGGGUUUAAGAGACGAAAUUCUUGAGUUGGCACAUCAUACCCGAUUUAGUAUUCACCCUGGAAGCGUAAAGAUGUAUAAAGAUUUAAAGAGAUAUUACCAUUGGCCCGGAAUGAAGCGAGCAGUAGGAAAAUGGGUAUCUCAAUGUCAGACAUGCCAGCAAGUUAAAACAGAACAUCAAGUGCCAGCCGGACUAUUAAGGAAUCUACCUAUUCCGGUAUGGAAGUGGGAAUCUAUUGCCAUGGAUUUUGUUGUAGGGAUGCCACCGUCAAAGGGAAAUUAUGAUGCGAUUUGGGUAAUCGUAGACCGCUUAACCAAAGUUGCUCAUUUAUUACCCGUCAAUCAUGAAGAUGGAUCGGAGAGAUUGGCAGAGCAAUACGUAAACAAGAUUGUACCUCUCCAUGGCGUACCUGCAAACAUUGUAUCAGAUCGUGACCCGAGAUUCUCAGCUUCUUUUUGGAAAGAGUUUCAACAAGCCUUAGGAACCAACGUAUUCAUGAGUACCGCUUAUCACCCAGAGACGGAUGGCCAAACCGAACGGACCAUUCGUACCAUUGAAGAUAUGCUCCGAAUGUGUGUUCUCGACUGGGGAAAAGGAUGGAAACCCCAUUUACCCUUAGUCGAGUUUUCGUACAACAACAGUUACCAUGCAAGCAUUGGCAUGGCCCCAUUUGAAGCUCUUUACGGAAGACCAUGUCGAACACCAUUAUGUUGGACAGAGGUUUGGCGAGAAGAAGGAAUUCAGAACGACAUAAUUGAAGAAACUAUGGAGAAGGUUAAAAUGAUUCAGGAAAAUAUGAAGAAAGCGCAAGAUCGUCAAAAGAAGUACGCCGAUCAAAAGAGACGAGAAGUAGAAUUCACAGUAGGAGACAUGGUCUACCUUAAAGUUGUAGCUAUUAAAGGAAAAGGAAAGGAUUGUUUUGGGAAGACCGACAAACUUGGGAAACGGUAUGAGGGACCGUUCCCUAUCAUCGCAAGAGUUGGCGAAGUCGCUUACCGUUUAGCUUUACCUAAGACCAUGGGCAUUCACCCUGUGUUCCAUGUGUCUAUGCUACGGAAGCAUAUUCCAGACCCUCGCAAGAGAGAGAAUCCACCAAGGAUUGAGGAGCCCCAAGAAGAUAUCGUAUACCCACAAGGACCGUUAAGAAUUGGAGCCAGACGUAUAAGGAAACUUCGAAACAAGAAAAUUCCCCAAAUCCAAGUAACAUGGGGAAAACAACACCGCGAAGAAGAAACAUGGGAAGAUGAGGCUGCUUUCCGAAAGAAACAUCCGGAGUUUUUCAUGGAGGAGGGGAACGAUGAUGGAGCAGGACCAUCAGAACUAUUUAGAAUUCGGGACGAAUUCUAAUAAGGAGGGGAGAAUGUAAUACUCCUCACCCGGAUUAUGUACAGAAGAUCAUGCAGUAUGGUAACGUUCGAUCCAACCUUAGUACCUUCCAUUGGUAAGGCUAUCUAGUAAAGUGUUAGCAGCUUGGGUCAAGUUUCCAAGAGUGUUUAGUGACUUAGGCAUAUUUGGUUAGGAAAAAUUAGAUUUUGUCCGUUAGAUUUAUAAUCGGUGCGAUAAGGAUCGUUUAGGUAUGUUCGGUGGUCGGAAAAUCUCUCGGUACGGCCGUGUACCGUGUGCGAAUGGAACGGACGGCCAAGGAGUGGCCAAGUAAGCUGCUUAAAGGGUUAAGCCGCCUUACUGUUUGGAUAAGGACGACCUCUCAGUCGUGUGCGACCGUGAUUGGUCCGUCCGUCCGUGCUUAUCCAUUCGUUGAGCUUAUCCGAUCGUUGUUCUUAUCCUUAUCCGUUAGUGAAGCUUAUCCAUUUCCAAAUCCGAACCUAUAAAUACCCCCCCCUUCGUCCAUCACUCUUCACUUCCACUCCAAAACCACCAAAAAGUUCCUUGCUUGCACUAGGAGCUCUCGGAGAGACCUUCAGCCGCCGAUCGAGUUUCUGUGAGUUCCGGUCGUGUGUGGUAGCACGCGACUAGGUUUAUUUAAUUGUUUAAGUUAUUAUUUAAUAUUCAUUUAGUAGUUAUUUAAAUAAUUUAUUUAUUUAAAUAUUAUUUUAGUAUGAGGUUAAGUUUUCUUACUUAACCUAAUUCCAAGUGAUAUCUUUGUGAUGAUUACUUGUUGGUGUGUGAUGAUAUUGGUUAUGCUUAUGCAUUGUGUGGGUUGAAUAAUUAGUAAUAGCGGGGUCGUGCUAUCCUCGUCGUAUAUGGUACGUUAAGUAACGUGAUCAUAUACGAGGCUCGGGGCCGGGUCGCGACGGACCGAGCGACUACAUGACGAUGUAGAUUUAAGGAAUGACAGAUCUUCUAUAGACUCAGUGUCUAGAAGUGUAGGGCAUUGCCUUGAGGAUAUCAUUGAUCGGUAGAGAAGGCCUUACAAGGGAUAGUGGAUACAUUCAUAUUAGCGUUAUUCGUAACAUUUUAUCGAUUGUGGCCGUAGUGCCGUCUUGUGCUCAUGAAUAUUAUAUUGCUUGUGAUUGGGGAAAUUGGGGUUGGGUUUACUAAUGGUAGAGAUCCCGGACUCACUGAGUAAUGCUAGAUUACUCAUGAUACUACCAUAUUUGUUUUGCAGGUAACCAGUAGAGGGUUGUUGUAGAGGGAAAGAUGGACGCUAGGAAAGCCAGUGUAGGUUUACUGCCUUUUUGUAAAAUUAUGUUUUCAAGUAUAAGUACAUAGCCUUUGGAGAUUAGCUCCCGGCCGAAUAAAACAUGUAAGAUUUGGUAAUGUGUUUUGAACCGUAUGUGGUAUAUAUUAUGUAUAAUAAGGAUGUUUUAUAUAUCGCGGUUGGCUCUUAAUGAUUAUGGUCUAGUCCGGGCCGUCCAAACAUUCGCUCACGGUAAGGGUUGGCAAGC
rnacentral:lncRNA from 1 species